rnacentral:rRNA from 1 species
UACGUAGGGGGCAAGCGUUGUCCGGAAUCAUUGGGCGUAAAGCGCGUGUAGGCGGCUCGGUAAGUCUGCUGUGAAAGUCCAGGGCUCAACCCUGGAAAGCCGGUGGAAACUGUCGAGCUAGAGUCCGGAAGAGGCGAGUGGAAUUCCUGGUGUAGCGGUGAAAUGCGCAGAUAUCAGGAGGAACACCAAUGGCGAAGGCAGCUCGCUGGGACGGUACUGACGCUGAGACGCGAAGGCGUGGGGAGCAAACAGG